rnacentral:lncRNA from 10 species
CUUUCCAUUAAUAUCAUUGACCCCUCAAAAUGUAUCUCCCAGAACUUGUCUGAUGAGCAGGGCCUGUGUCACCUGUCGGCCCUGAUGUAAAAAGGGAAAAUGGAUUCUAUGUUGGAAUGGAGAGACUUACACUGUAGGGAACUACCACAAUGUGGAGAGGGUGUUCACAUAGGCUAAAUGGCAGAUGCCCAUCACAGUUGCAGAACUGAAAUUUGAGCCCAGAUCUAGCCAACUCCAGGGUCCCUGCUCUAUCCAAUGCUGCUUUCUAAGUCCUUUGUCCCAGAGGACCCAGGGCUCACCAGGGUUAGGAUCUCCAGAUAGAUGGUACCUCACAUAUGGUAUUCAGGAUUCCAAAAGGGAUAGCUGCUUCUAGACCCAUGCUCACUAUCUAGAAGGGCAUGUCACACCCAAAUGCUGGGCACUAUUUCUUCCUGAAGAACUGAAAUGGAUUCUUAAGGUGGAAACCUGAAGAUGCUCUUGCCCACUCUCUCUGAAGCAUAGAGCUGACCCCAAAACUCAGUAACUUGUUUUCUCUGCUCUUGAGCUUCUCAUUUUCUUUUAAACUGAGAGCUUCUUGAAGGAAAAGCUUGUAUUUUCUAUAUUUCCAGCUCCUAGGACUGGGCCAGGUACAUUAAAGUGCUCAAAUAAAUUUCUUCUAAGUGGAGGAGAAGAGGGAUGUAUAGGUGGUGGAAGGGUUCCCAUGAUUCUAAGUGGCUUCCCUGGGAGGGACAUGUUUAGUCAGAUUUAGGAGAUAGUUUAUGGAAAGAUAGGGAGCAAAAUAUAACUCAGGAUACCAUGUCUCACUCCAAAAUCAGCCAUAAGCCUCCCACUGCCAUAUCUACUUAACACUCCACAGUCAGCCUCAGACCCUCUCCCCACCAUUUCACACUUCAUCAUAAACACAAAUCCUCCUCCAUACAACCAAUUCACAUUCCACAUCAAGCAAAAAUUGUCCCUCCUUACAAUCACUACAUAUUCUGCAGUAAAUCCAAUCGUCUGACCCAACAGGCAUUUUACAGUCCACAGCAAACUACAAUCUUACCCUUCUCAGACCUCCUCACCUCCCGUGGGAAGCCCUAACCUCCUCCCCCACAGUAAUUCACCUUUCCACAGGAGGCCCAACGCUUCACACCCCAUAGUAAAAUUCUCACGCCUACAGCCACUUCACACUUGCUAGCAAUCCUCCAUGAUCCCUGCCCACACCACCUCAUGUUCCAAGAAGAACCCGGUCCUCCCUCCAACAACUGCUUCACACAUCACACUAAACCUGAAUCCUCCCUCACCAGAAACCCUGACCUUCUAAAGUAAACCCUACCCUCCCACCACAAAGCCCCUUACUGCUCUACAGCAAUCUCCAAUCCCCCACCCAAUAACCAUGUCAAGCUCCACAGGAAAGGCCUCCCACCUCCACUGCACUUCACACUCCAUGGAAGGUAUCAGUUCUUCCCCCACAACCACCUGCUUCACGCCCAUGGAAAGCUUCAGUCGUCUCUCCACAAAACCAGGUUAUAUUUGAAAUCAAGUACUACUCAUCCCUCUCAUCAACCACUUCACACGCCACAAUACACCCCAAUUCACCAAGCCUCAGAUGCCUUACACUCCACAGGACAGCUGCAGCUCUUUUACCUUCGCGUUAAUCACCAAUCUUUCUACUCUACACAUGCUGCAGACGCCACAGGAAUCCUCAAACCUCCUCUCCCACACGGCUUCAUGCCCCACAAUAAACUGCAGUCCCCCUAUCCUCACACCCGCUUCUCACUCCACAGGACCCCCAUCCUCAAGCCCACUUCACACUCCCCAGUCAUUUUCAAUCCUUCCUCCCCAAAAUGCUUGACUCCACAGUGAACGCUCUCCCCUCUCCCAGCCCUUCUGCAGUUCAUGUGAAUCCCCAAACCUUCCUCUCUACAAACAGUUCACAUUCCCAGGUAAACCCCAGGGUAAAUUCUCAUUCUGUAAGCUAACAUCCACUUUUAACCCCUUAGUUAUUUGCAGUUCUUCCAUCCCUAAAGCCACUCCACAAUAAACCCCUAUCCAUGCUCCCUAAAUGACUACACUCCACAGCAAAUCCUAAUCCUCUCGUGCCCACAGCCCAAUCACAUGCCAGAGUAACACCGAUCCUCAAAUACGACACAUCCUUCACACACCGUGAUAAACUCCAAUCCUCCGACCAACAGCCACUUCUUACUCCUUCGUAAUCCCUAGUAAUAUCUCCUACAACCACUUCACACAGUGAUUCCAAUGCUCCCUCCCUAUAUACAUCUCAUUCCACACUAAAUCCUUGUUCUCUCUCCACAUAACCACUUCACAUGCCACGAGAAGCCCCAUUCCUUCAAUUUCCCUAAAUUCUCCAAAGGAUUUUGAUAAUUGAACAAAUAUUUUAUAAUAACAUCGUGGAGAGAUGUUAAUAAAAUUUAAGUCUACCAUCCCAAGGGCCUGUUCUAAGGAUUUACAGUGAAAGAAGUGUCACCUUUUCUGCAUAAGGAUAUACUUUGCCACGCUAUUCAUACUGCUGAAAACUGGAUGAAUAAAACUGAUACAAGGAAUUAAGGACUCACGAAAACGGUGAUCAUUUAUUUUUGGAUCAGAUUCUUUCCAAACAUCGGAUCCUUGGACAAAAGCAACAAAAGAGACAUUCCUUGUACUAAAAAGGCUGGAUACCAGUACUUCCAUCAGACUCCCUAUUUUAAUAGCAAGCCUGGUGAGGGAGUUCCUUCUGAAGGCUCACACUGGGUGAGUCCAGUGCCCAACCAGCCCAUAAGCACAGCAAGGGCGGGCUUCAUGUCUUCUUCACUGUUUAUAUUUCCCUCAGUUCCUCUUUAUUGAAUAGUGGUGAAUUAACAUCUUUUGAUUUAGUCUAUUGUCCCUGAUAGCAUUUUAUUUCCAACCGUGCAAUUGCUGAUGCUUCUGUUUUCUUUUUGCUUUUUCCCCUGCAGCUUAACUAACAUUGACUACUGUGUUAGGAUUAGUCAUUGCUGACUGUGCCAGCCUGCAGCCUCAUAAUCAGAGCCUUGUCACCAAGCAUGGCUGCCUCAGUGACUGGAAUGGAAAUGAAAAUAAAGCAAGUGUUAUUUUCCUCAUCCUGAAGCAACAGAGAACUGCAUCAGGCUUACCAACAUGAACGUGGGUAAGAAGGAGUUUUGAAGUCCAGCAAAGAUUUUAUAGCUAGUGAGGCUGGCUGGAAGCAGGGUCGAUCUGGUCUGAUGUGUUGCAAGAUGUGAACUUAUUAAGGCAUCACAGAGGCAACUCCCAGCGGGGGUGGAGGAGAGCAGCAGGGAUGGAAAGGAAGAAGACUCUCAAGAUAGGAUGCUCCAAAGGAUGAUUGGAAGAGAAGGGUGAUGUCUGGAAGCGAUAAGCCUCAGAUGUUUGUUUGCACCUUACUGGAAAGCCAUGUAAAUUAAUGGAAACUUCCUGGCAAAAUAGCUUGACUUGUAGCAACUUCACAACCAUAACAAUCCAGAGGUGAGGUUUGCCCGCACCCUAUUCAUUUCAAUCCCGAAGGCAAUUUUCCCCUUGGCCAGAGAGAAGCUCAAGAACAAAAAACCAAACACCGCAUGUUCUCACUCAUAGGUGGGAAUUGAACAAUGAGAAC